rnacentral:rRNA from 1 species
GACGAACGCUGGCGGCGUGCUUAACACAUGCAAGUCGAACGGUAAGGCUCCAGCUUGCUGGGGUACACGAGUGGCGAACGGGUGAGUAACACGUGGGUGACCUGCCCUGCACUUCGGGAUAAGCCUGGGAAACUGGGUCUAAUACCGGAUAGGACCAUGAUUUGGAUACUGUGGUGGAAAGUUUUUUCGGUGUGGGAUGGGCCCGCGGCCUAUCAGCUUGUUGGUGGGGUAAUGGCCUACCAAGGCGGCGGCGGGUAGCCGGCCUGAGAGGGUGGACGGCCACAUUGGGACUGAGACACGGCCCAGACUCCUACGGGAGGCAGCAGUGGGGAAUAUUGCACAAUGGGCGGAAGCCUGAUGCAGCGACGCCGCGUGGGGGAUGACGGCCUUCGGGUUGUAAACUCCUUUCACCAUCGACGAAGGGUUUCUGACGGUAGAUGGAGAAGAAGCACCGGCUAACUACGUG